AAUUUAAAAAGAAACAAGCUAGAUCAUCGCAGAAGUUAACUACCAAACUCCACAGUUCUUUGGAAGACCCCAACACAAAUGAUUUGGAGGAUGAUCUACCCGUAGAUAAUGCUUCAAAGCAAUUGGUGCUUCAUAAUGAGACUUCUAGUACACAUUAGAUACAAGUGAGAAGUAGUAAAGAUGCCAAACAAUGUGGUUAUUAUGUGAUGCGAUUUAUGAGACAAAUUGUUGAAGAAGUUGAAAUUAUCGAGAGAGAUUCACUACGAUCUAUAUUUACAGAAGCGGAGUAUUCUCGAGAAGAAAUUGAUGAGGUGCGAUCGGAGUUGACAGAAUGUAUACAAGAUCAUAUUUAUGAGUAGGUGCGUUCAAGUUUAUGUAAGUUCAU